CGUCUAACGCAUGUUAGACGGGACAAAAAUGGCGGAAUUUCGGCGCGAGCCGGAAUGCUAUUGCUGGAGGAGGGGCUUGCGUCCUAUCAGCUAGUUGGUAGGGUAAUGGCCUACCAAGGCUUUUGACGGGUAGUUGGACUGAGAGGUCGACCAACCACACGGGGACUGAGACACGGCCCUGACUCCUACGGGAGGCAGCAGUCGAGAAUCUUUCGCAAUGGGCGAAAGCCUGACGAAGCGACGCCGCGUGCGCGAUGAAGUCUUUCGGGAUGUAAAGCGCUGUUAGUUCGGAUUAAGCCCCGAUUCAAAAAUAUUGUUUUCGGGGGGACUGUAUGAGC
rnacentral:rRNA from 1 species